CGCCUGGCGGGGCUCCUGCUGCCCUCUCCCUUCCCUUCUCCCCCUUAGCCAAGGUUCAUGGAAAACUUCUCAGGUCAGUGAUUCUCACCUUCCUUUCCUCCUCAGCAGAGAGGGGCCCCACCCCCUUCUCUGGAACCUGGCACCUUCUUUCCCUCAAAGCCCUGCUCUCCUUGGACAAGGCAGACGAGAUGCACUGUGGAGGAGGAGGGGCAGGCCUGGGAGCUGAACCCAGGGCAGAAGUUCCGCCUCGGCCUCGCUCAUCUCCCGGCGCUGUCGGCCCAGGAGAUGCGCUCUGGCUUCCUGUGAUCUUAGAGGCACCACCGUGUGGUGGCAAGUCCACACUUCUGACCAGCCCACGCCUCCUCUUUGAGCUCUGACUCCUACAAGCAGACUUGACAUUUCCACUUGAAGUCUCCCAGAUGUUUCAACGUGACCUGUCCCAGCGAGAAUGCUUGAUUCUCACCCCGGUCUUGCCUGUAUCACCUCCGCCUUCCUAGUCACUAACGACUGUGGUCCUCGAUUCGUCCUCACCUUUUACAUCCAAUUUACCAUCAGGUCCAGGAAACCCUACCUCCAAAGUAGAUUCCACCACGUCUAGUCCCAACAUUUCUCUUGAUUGCCACCACCACCCUGUUUUCUUUUAAACCACCUUCCUCUCUUACCUGGACUCUUACCUGCUUCCAACUGAGCCUCCUCCAUUUCAGUCUCAAUGAGGCAUUAAGAAUCAUCAUUCAGGUGGCUCAGUCAGCUAAGUGGACAACUUCGGCUCAGGUCACGAUCUCCAGUUCAUGGGUUUGAGCCCUGCAUCUCCUCUCUCUCUGUCCCUGCCCCACUCAUUCUAUCUCUCAGAAUAAAUAAAUAAACUUUUGUUAAAAAAAGAA